CUCGUUAACUGUUACAUUGAAUAUAGGCAACAUAAGUAGUAUUUAUUUAGUUCUAUUCAAAUAUAGCUCGAAAUCGAUCCCCAUAUAUUAGUCAUUUUUUUUUUACAAUUAAGGGUAGAGGAAACUACCUCACUUCCUCCGCCGUUACGGCAUACAGUUUAUUUGUUGAUAUUCUUGGAUAAGAUAUUCAAAUUGUUUUUUUUCCUUCAUGGACCCUGUAUCCUUUACAUUCACCUCCAAUAUUUAUAUAUUAGUCUAGCCAAACUUUUUUUAAUGUUUCUAUAUAGGUGGGAACAAAGUUAGACAGAAAAACUACGUGCUACUUAGUCUCAUUACAGCAGGUCUUUUAUUGGUGUCUCUGUUGUUAUGUUCUUUACUACUUUAUUGUCAUUGUGAUGAAGUAAAAAAAGAAAGUGCAAAAAGCCAAAAUAGUAUGCCUUGCAGAGACGAUGAAACGUUAGAUGAGGAAAAUGGGAGAAGUACUGUACAAAAUGAUCACCCAGACCAAAUAGAUGAU